rnacentral:rRNA from 1 species
GACGAACGCUGGCGGCGUGCCUAACACAUGCAAGUCGAACGAGGUCCAUCCUUCGGGAGAAGACCUAGUGGCGAACGGGUGAGUAACACGUGAGGAACCUGCCCCGGAGACCGGGAUAACCACUCGAAAGAGUGGCUAAUACCGGAUGCCCCCAUCCUGCCGCAUGACGGGAUGAGGAAAUGGAUUCCGCUCCGGGAGGGCCUCGCGGCCUAUCAGCUAGUUGGUGAGGUAACGGCUCACCAAGGCAUCGACGGGUAGCUGGUCUGAGAGGACGAUCAGCCACACUGGGACUGAGACACGGCCCAGACUCCUACGGGAGGCAGCAGUGGGGAAUCUUGCGCAAUGGGCGAAAGCCUGACGCAGCAACGCCGCGUGGGGGAUGAAGGCUCUCGGGUUGUAAACCCCUUUCAGCAGGGACGAAAAUGACGGUACCUGCAGAAGAAGCUCCGGCUAACUACGUG